GAUGAACGCUGGCGGCGUGCCUAAUACAUGCAAGUCGAGCGAACAGACGAGGAGCUUGCUCCUUCGACGUUAGCGGCGGACGGGUGAGUAACACGUAGGUAACCUACCUAUAAGACUGGGAUAACUUCGGGAAACCGGAGCUAAUACCGGAUAAUAUUUCGAACCGCAUGGUUCGAUAGUGAAAGAUGGCUUUGCUAUCACUUAUAGAUGGACCUGCGCCGUAUUAGCUAGUUGGUAAGGUAACGGCUUACCAAGGCAACGAUACGUAGCCGACCUGGGAGGGUGAUCGGCCACACUGGAACUGAGACACGGUCCAGACUCCUACGGGAGGCAGCAGUAGGGAAUCUUCCGCAAAGGGCGAAAGCCUGACGGAGCAACGCCGCGUGAGUGAUGAAGGUCUUCGGAUCGUAAAACUCUGUUAUUAGGGAAGAACAAACGUGUAAGUAACUGUGCACGUCUUGACGGUACCUAAUCAGAAAGCCACGGCUAACUACGUG
rnacentral:rRNA from 1 species